GGGGGCCGCGCGUAGCGGGGGGGGGUGAGCCCGGCCGUUCUGGUGGCGGGGGGCGCCCGAGACCCGGCUGGUGCCGGGCACGCAAUCUCGGGUGAGGGGUGCGAGGGAGGGCCGCCCCCGCCCUCCCAUGACCCGAGGGUGAGGGGAGGCUUCCCGCUCCCUCCGUCGGGGUGUGACGGGGGCGGAGGUGAGGUCAGGCGUGACGGGCGCUGUGGCCGGUUGUGUCAGCGGGCGAUACGGGAAUGGGAGUUACGGCGUGUACCGCCGGGGCCUUGUCUGGGAAGGUACCGGGAAGUUGCCAGGCGGAGGGCAAGCAGCCACCCGAGCGAGGGCGGUACAGCAGGGCUGGCGGCGAGGAGGGAUGUGCGGCCUGGCCAUGCGUCCCUGGUAGGAUGAGCCAAGAGUUCCCCCUGCUAGGGCUGAGCCCCAUGAGAAUGAGAUGUUUCAGAGAAAAAGUACCCAAACAGUGAUGCGGAUAUCACUAAUGGUGUGCCAGCCACCUACCCCCAUGCCCGGAGAUGAUGAUUGCAGUAGCUGUUGGUUAUGCCGUUUGUAAGCUUAUAUCAGGGAAUUUGGGAGAGUGUGAUGAGGAGAAAAGAAAAGGGCAUGUGUGCUUGGGGAUUAUGCUUGUGUUCCCCUGUUGACUUCUGUAUGUGCUUGGUUUAUGCCAAUUUGUAUGAGAGAGGUACCAAGUCUUUUGUUUAACAGUGACUAUUUACUAUUAAACUAUUGACAGUUAAUAAAGGAGAAGAUAAACAUGGCAUUUACUAACAAUAAGUUACGUGAAACUGCCUUCAUUAGUUUUCUAAUGAAGGGGUUCCCAUGGACAGGAAGAAGUCAGUGAACCAGUUGGAAAUAUUGAGAGAAGGUUUGGUGCAGGUUGGUGCAACAAGUGCUAAUGGUGGUGUUUAAGCUUACGAUGACUGACAAGAAGUCCCUCAGUGACUGACAACCGGGUUGACAUUGCUGGAAUUUAUCAGACGUCUGUCACUCUCCACCUCACUGCAUACGAUUCUUUGUUGUGGAGCUGUAAGGAAAAUAAAAGUGGAGUCCAUAGACUUUUUUUUCAAGA